CACCGCAGGUCCCUCCUACCACUUCACCCACUGGUCCCGUCCAAUCAGAGUCCAGUUUGAGCCGCGCCAAAAAUCAGUCGCACCUGUUGCCCAUGCAGGGCAAAUUUUUAUGUUAGGUGCGGCUUAUAAGACGUCGGGGUGAGGCCGGCUCGAGUCUCCCGUGGAAUAUGGGAUACGUCGGUAACGUUCUGCUUUGUCCAAGCUCUUUUUCUGUGAAAGCUAUGGCUGAGAGCAGAGAGACGAUUCAGGCAUAGAGGGGCUGGAACUUCGGCGUGAGCCCGAGACAGGCGGUUCACGUGUCCGGAGCAAUCCAGAGGAAAAAUAACCGACGUGGACGUCAGGAUGGUCGAAGGGAUUCAGGGGAGUAGCCGAGACCAUUUGGGAGAAUGCACCGCGAUUGGCUUCGCUCAUCGGCUCUACACUUAAGUGUGGGUGUGAGAGAGAGUGAUGGAGAGGGAGGCCAAGAGAGGGGGCAAGGGAGG